rnacentral:lncRNA from 1 species
UGGUUAUAGGAUCUCUAGUCCCUGGGUUGGGUUUCGUCAUAUAUGACUUAUAAGUUUAUAGGCUUCAAUCCCAUCUCCAUUGAUAUGCUCCAAACCCUUUCUGUUGCCAAGGCCUUGGUUAGUGAAUCUGCAAGAUUAUCGCAUAAUCAAUAUUAAUAUUACCACUUGUCAAAUAUCUCACAAAAUUAUAUUUUUCUCCUUAUAGGCCUGGAUUUACUAUUGUAAUAAUGGUUUUGUACUUUACCAAUAGCAGCGGUGCUAAAACAAUAAAUUAAACAAAAAGGAGGAAUUGGUUUUUUCAAAAUAAAGAAUUUAAAAUAAUAAAUGUCUCAACCAAUUCGCUUCUUCACUAGCUGAAGCUAAAGAAAUUAGUUCAGCUUCCAUGGUAGUGUUUAUUUUAAACUUCCAACAAAUAGCACUACCUCCCAAAAAUAAAAUAUAACCUGUAGUAGAAUAGGAAUCACCAGAUAAAGUAUUUCAAUCCGCAUUAGAAGAGCCUGCUAUUUACUACACUGCAUGCUCAAUAUGAUGUCGAGUGUAAUCAGUCACAUAUCUUAAAUAUUUAAUUAAGCAAGCAUACCUUUUUGAGUUAUCACAUCAUUUUCACUUUGAACAUAAAGAAGUGAACACUUGAAUCAAAAAGAGUUACAACAUGCUUGCAAUUAAUAAAUUUAUAUAUUUUUUUAAAAAAAAAUUCUCAAUAUAAUGUGACUGGUCAAGAAAAUUUUCAUCACAUAUUCUAGUAAUUUUCAUUCCAAUAAUGAAAUUUACCUCACCCAGAUCUUUCAUGUCAAAAUGGCUACUAGGUAUACUUUUAAUUUCUCCAAUAAUAUUUAUGCUAGCGCCAAAAAUUAAUAAAUCAAUAACAGAGCAGCAAAUAAUAACAUGUGAUAUUAUUCCAAGACUUAUAAAAAAUGCAGUUAUCACACUCUUUUGAUUUAAUCAACAUUUCACUCAUACAUGCAUAUUCAAAAUUUUCAUGCAAUAAUUUUUUAUUUCCUUUACCCCCACUAUUUCUAGAAGUAUGAAAAUUCAUAAUCAUAAAAAAAUAUAAUCACAAAGUCAUCAAAAUAGAAGGUAAAAAGUUUUUACCUUUCCACCGCUUGAGUAAAGCAAGUCGAAAUUUUUUCACCUUCCCAUCUCAUAAAUAGAGUGAACUUCUAUCUUGAUAUCCGCUGUUUCUUCAACUGCAUAAAAAUUGAAUCUCCUUAAAAUAGUUUGUAAAAUUAUAAAUAACUACAGUUGAAAAAUAAGAUGAAAAAAAUUAAAUAAAUAUUCUUCAAGUUGAGGCGCGGAUAUCUUGCUCUCUUUAAGGAGAUUCAAGCCCACUGCAAUAGCAUUUUCACCGGUCCAGCAGUAAUACUCUUGACUUGUCCCUUUCAGGAUACAAUAACCGGACAAUAUCAUAUGACUCGAAUAAACUCUGGACAAGUUGUUGAGUCCAAAACUCCACCAAAAUGAACACUUUCCUUCAACAAAAUAAUAUUCUUUUUAAUUGUAGAUAAUAAGUUGAAGACUUAGAUUUUCUUCUUCUCUUAACUUUCUUUUUCACUACACCAAUUUUUACUUUUUUUCACACACGC